rnacentral:rRNA from 1 species
UACGAGGGGGGCGAGCGUUGUUCGGAAUUACUGGGCGUAAAGCGUGCGUAGGUGGUUUGUUAAGUCUGUUGUGAAAGCCCCGGGCUCAACCUGGGAAUGGCAAUGGAUACUGGCAAGCUAGAGUGCGGUAGAGGGUAGUGGAAGUUCCCGGUGUAAGCGGUGAAAUGCGUAGAGAUCGGGAGGAACACCAGUGGCGAAGGCGGCUACCUGGACCAGCACUGACACUGAGGCACGAAAGCGUGGGGAGCAAACAGG